rnacentral:lncRNA from 1 species
CUUUCGCAGGGCAAUUCUAACAGACACCCCCCACUUGAAAUGGGCUAGUUUUGCCCCUGCAGGCAAAGAAGCAUCCACCUAGCCUUUGACACCCUAGUCUGUUUUUAAUGUUGUUAAUAUGAACUCAUUAACUGGAAAUGUGAAUGUGCCCAAAUGUCUGUCUAACGCCAGACGAUUAAUUACUCAUCAGUGGUAGAGUACUGCCAGUAAAUGGGUUAAAAUGUUAAAUAUGAAUUAAGUUGAAAUCGGUUGUAAUAACCAAUUGAUUCAUUAACCUAUUAAGUUGCAA